GGUUAAGCGACUAAGCGUACACGGUGGAUGCCCUGGCAGUCAGAGGCGAUGAAGGGCGUGCUAAUCUGCGAUAAGCGCCGGUAAGGUGAUAUGAACCGUUAUAACCGGCGAUACCCGAAUGGGGAAACCCAGUGUGACUCGUCACACUAUCAUUAACUGAAUCCAUAGGUUAAUGAGGCGAACCGGGGGAACUGAAACAUCUAAGUACCCCGAGGAAAAGAAAUCAACCGAGAUUCCCCCAGUAGCGGCGAGCGAACGGGGAGGAGCCCAGAGCCUGAAUCAGCAUGUGUGUUAGUGGAAGCGUCUGGAAAGGCGCGCGAUACAGGGUGACAGCCCCGUACACAAAAGCGCAUGUGCUGUGAGCUCGAUGAGUAGGGCGGGACACGUGGUAUCCUGUCUGAAUAUGGGGGGACCAUCCUCCAAGGCUAAAUACUCCUGACUGACCGAUAGUGAACCAGUACCGUGAGGGAAAGGCGAAAAGAACCCCGGCGAGGGGAGUGAAAAAGAACCUGAAACCGUGUACGUACAAGCAGUGGGAGCACAGGUUUACCUGUGUGACUGCGUACCUUUUGUAUAAUGGGUCAGCGACUUAUAUUCUGUAGCAAGGUUAACCGUAUAGGGGAGCCGGAGGGAAACCGAGUCUUAAUUGGGCGUUAAGUUGCAGGGUAUAGACCCGAAACCCGGUGAUCUAGCCAUGGGCAGGUUGAAGGUUGGGUAACACUAACUGGAGGACCGAACCGACUAAUGUUGAAAAAUUAGCGGAUGACCUGUGGCUGGGGGUGAAAGGCCAAUCAAACCGGGAGAUAGCUGGUUCUCCCCGAAAGCUAUUUAGGUAGCGCCUCGUGAAUUCAUCUCCGGGGGUAGAGCACUGUUUCGGCUAGGGGGCCAUCCCGGCUUACCAACCCGAUGCAAACUGCGAAUACCGGAGAAUGUUAUCACGGGAGACACACGGCGGGUGCUAACGUCCGUCGUGAAGAGGGAAACAACCCAGACCGCCAGCUAAGGUCCCAAAGUCAUGGUUAAGUGGGAAACGAUGUGGGAAGGCCCAGACAGCCAGGAUGUUGGCUUAGAAGCAGCCAUCAUUUAAAGAAAGCGUAAUAGCUCACUGGUCGAGUCGGCCUGCGCGGAAGAUGUAACGGGGCUAAACCAUGCACCGAAGCUGCGGCAGCGACGCUGAUGCGUUGUUGGGUAGGGGAGCGUUCUGUAAGCCUGCGAAGGUGGCCUGUGAGGGUUGCUGGAGGUAUCAGAAGUGCGAAUGCUGACAUAAGUAACGAUAAAGCGGGUGAAAAGCCCGCUCGCCGGAAGACCAAGGGUUCCUGUCCAACGUUAAUCGGGGCAGGGUGAGUCGACCCCUAAGGCGAGGCCGAAAGGCGUAGUCGAUGGGAAACGGGUUAAUAUUCCCGUACUUGGUGUUACUGCGAAGGGGGGACGGAGAAGGCUAUGUUGGCCGGGCGACGGUUGUCCCGGUUUAAGCGUGUAGGUGUGUGUUCCAGGUAAAUCCGGUUCACUUUAACACUGAGGCGUGACGACGAGGCACUACGGUGCUGAAGCAACAAAUGCCCUGCUUCCAGGAAAAGCCUCUAAGCAUCAGGUAACAUCAAAUCGUACCCCAAACCGACACAGGUGGUCAGGUAGAGAAUACCAAGGCGCUUGAGAGAACUCGGGUGAAGGAACUAGGCAAAAUGGUGCCGUAACUUCGGGAGAAGGCACACUGACACGUAGGUGAAGUGAUUUACUCACGGAGCUGAAGUCAGUCGAAGAUACCAGCUGGCUGCAACUGUUUAUUAAAAACACAGCACUGUGCAAACACGAAAGUGGACGUAUACGGUGUGACGCCUGCCCGGUGCCGGAAGGUUAAUUGAUGGGGUCAGCGCAAGCGAAGCUCCUGAUCGAAGCCCCGGUAAACGGCGGCCGUAACUAUAACGGUCCUAAGGUAGCGAAAUUCCUUGUCGGGUAAGUUCCGACCUGCACGAAUGGCGUAAUGAUGGCCAGGCUGUCUCCACCCGAGACUCAGUGAAAUUGAACUCGCUGUGAAGAUGCAGUGUACCCGCGGCAAGACGGAAAGACCCCGUGAACCUUUACUAUAGCUUGACACUGAACAUUGAGCCUUGAUGUGUAGGAUAGGUGGGAGGCUUUGAAGUGUGGACGCCAGUCUGCAUGGAGCCGACCUUGAAAUACCACCCUUUAAUGUUUGAUGUUCUAACGUGGACCCGUAAUCCGGGUUGCGGACAGUGUCUGGUGGGUAGUUUGACUGGGGCGGUCUCCUCCUAAAGAGUAACGGAGGAGCACGAAGGUUGGCUAAUCCUGGUCGGACAUCAGGAGGUUAGUGCAAUGGCAUAAGCCAGCUUGACUGCGAGCGUGACGGCGCGAGCAGGUGCGAAAGCAGGUCAUAGUGAUCCGGUGGUUCUGAAUGGAAGGGCCAUCGCUCAACGGAUAAAAGGUACUCCGGGGAUAACAGGCUGAUACCGCCCAAGAGUUCAUAUCGACGGCGGUGUUUGGCACCUCGAUGUCGGCUCAUCACAUCCUGGGGCUGAAGUAGGUCCCAAGGGUAUGGCUGUUCGCCAUUUAAAGUGGUACGCGAGCUGGGUUUAGAACGUCGUGAGACAGUUCGGUCCCUAUCUGCCGUGGGCGCUGGAGAACUGAGGGGGGCUGCUCCUAGUACGAGAGGACCGGAGUGGACGCAUCACUGGUGUUCGGGUUGUCAUGCCAAUGGCACUGCCCGGUAGCUAAAUGCGGAAGAGAUAAGUGCUGAAAGCAUCUAAGCACGAAACUUGCCCCGAGAUGAGUUCUCCCUGAGACUUAGAGUCUCCUGAAGGAACGUUGAAGACGACGACGUUGAUAGGCCGGGUGUGUAAGCGCAGCGAUGCGUUGAGCUAACCGGUACUAAUGAACCGUGAGGCUUAACCUU
rnacentral:rRNA from 1 species